CUGCGAGUUCGCGGGAGAGUAAGUUAUUGCCAGGGUUUUUAUUUUAUGCUUUAAACAUUGAUUUUAUUUUUUAUGUUUUUAGAUGUUCAUGUUUUUGAAUGUUUUAUUUAAAUAAUAUAAAAAAUAAAAUAUAUAUUGACAUGGAUUAAACAAAGAUAUAUAUUAUUCUAUGUUGCAUAAACAAAUUGGCAAAAUAGAGAUGGAAGAUAAAAAUAUGGCCAAAGAAAG
rnacentral:misc_RNA from 1 species